GCCCUUUGGUAGGUGCGCUUUGCUUCCUAACCCGUUGCCGGGUUGGAGAUUCCACCUCCGAAGUUUUCUUUCUGACUUUUGAUUUUACAUUCCUAGUACAGUGGAGAAGCCCAGGCGGCCUAGAAUCCAGUGUCGUCCGUGAGUGCUUGGCUGGUGUUCAAGUGCAUCUUCCAGCCUGAGACCGCGUGGACUCGCUCAUCGUGAGGGCGAGAGGAGGAUAAGCCCAUUGGGCUGUCGGCUGAGAGUGAGGUGCGGGAUUGCUGAUGAAAUCCUUGGCAUCGUCGGAGAUCUCAUCGAAUGCCUCGUCGUCGAAGUCCCAGGUGGCUGAGGUAACGUUGGCCAAGGUUUCGUUAUCGUUGUCUCCCAUGAAGGGGGAAAGGCCACUGACUCUGGAGAGACAAGAGCAGGACAGCAGGUGUGGCUAGGAGAGGGCGCGACGACCAGGUGAGUGGUAACUGAGGUCAAAGGCGAGGGUCGGCCAGCCUCCCCACCCCCAAACUCAUGCUCUGUGGGCCUUGCACCUGCCUUUCUUCCACUUGUGGAAAGAAAAGAGGGUGUGGUUCACAGCCCUGUCUUUUCUUGGUCACCUGCCUCUUGACACCACCUACCUGUGAGGCUGAGGUGCAGCAGGUUGGCUUUAGAUUACGGGCUUCUGCAGGGUACGCGGCAGGGCUGAUAAGUCCCUCUGUCCUGGUUUUCUAUUAUUCCCCAAAGCCCAGGCUAGAGCCUUCUCCAAGCCCCUUCCUCCCGUGCUCCUGCCCCCUCUCUGUGGACUGGGCACAUGGUAGUGAUCACCACUGCACCCUUCUGUCCCCUCCUUCCCACCUCUCUCCACACACCUUCAGCUCCAAGAAGAGGGCCCGGCAAAUAAGAGAGGCUCAGCAAGUGAAGUGUGUGCCCAAUGGAUAGAUGGACUUUGAAUCAGCAAUGUAGGUUCGGGGAACUUGAGGCAUUUAUGCCAAACUAGAAAACUUCCCUAUGAGGUGCCAUGGCAGAGGACAGAGUGCAGCCUCUCCGCUUGCUGUAUGGCCUUGGACAAUUCCCUGAUCUGUGUCAGUUUUCUCCUCUAAAAUGGAGAAGCUGCCAUUUAACUAUAGGGUGGUCACUUCUUCAUCCUCAUCAUCAUCAUGAUGGCAGCAGACAUUCAUUGAGGUUUUUCUAUGUGCCAGGCACUGGGUCAAGUGCCUAAAACAAGUGAACUCACUUAAUCUUAACACUGCCCUAUGAUGCAAGUAAUUCUUAUAACUUUGUUUUACAGAUGAGGGAAUUGAGGCACAGCCCAGGCUCAAGUCACCUGCCCAAAGAUUCACAGCCAGUGAGAUUGGAAGCCAGGUAUCUGCCUCUAGAGCCUGUCCUCUUAAAUGCUAUACUAUCCUAACAUUUCUGUAAAGAUGAAGUAAAUUGCAGUGUUCAGCACUGGCACCAGGCCUGGUCCACAGUAAGGAGGCGGUCCAUGCCCGGAGAUCUCAUGCAGUUCUGCUGGGUUCCCUCCACUGCCUUACCAAGCUGUGAGUGCAGGAAUGACUUUGUGACCAGCAGCUUAAGCCAAAUAAACUUUAUAAGGUAAAGAAUUUCAAAACAAAA
rnacentral:lncRNA from 1 species